GAUAAGGAAGGUUGGGGCUACACGCUCAAGAUUAUUUGAUUUACAUAGGGAAUAUAUAUAUUCCAUAUAAAAAAUACAUAUAUAUUCAUUCCACAUACAAAUGAAUGGCUGGAACCCUUUGCUACCUCUAAGCAAGGGCUAGCCCUGGGAGAGGGAAUCACUUUCCAGCCAGUAAGAUCUUUAAGAUGUCAAAACAUGAUAAAACACAGAAAGUAAAACAAAAACAAAAACAAAAACAAAAAACAAAAACAAACAAACAAAAAAACAUUUCAUAACAGCAACGACAACAAAAAUAUAAGUAAUGCUUUAAGAGAACAUUCUUUUUUUCCUAACAGUUCCUACAAAAAUCUUGAAAUUUACUCCAUUGUUUUUUACUUUAAAUGGGCGCCCACUGCGUAAGAAAAUUACUCUGUUCAAGGGUACGUAAGGUAUGCCCAACAUAAAUAAAAAAGCUAAACUGAGGUAAGCUCCAAUUACCAGAAAUUGAGUUUAUACAGAAAUCGCUGAAGAACCGCAACCCGGCAAAUGCAUGCAGUAGCUCCCUCCAAGUGAGUCCAUUGAGGGUUGGUGGGGCCUGUAUUUACGGGAGAGGAGGGCAAAAAGGGGAAAAUGCCGCCAGAGUUCAAACAGUAAGCUCAUUGGCUUGAGGAUGGGGAGAGAUUGUUGGUGAAUGUUCAUUGGUCAGGAGCUAAAUCCGGGUCUUCUGUAAAUCAGGCAUUGGCGGAAAUCAGUCUCCCAGUUCUGAAGUUCUGUUCUUGUGAGGCCGAGUGCUUGAGAGUGGCCAUUUAACAUCUUCCGCUUCCAUUUUAGGUAGAAAUCCUUUGAUGCUACCUAUUUGAUUCUUCAAAGAAAGGUCAAGCCCCAAUUAAAAAAAAAAAAAAAAAGAGAGAAGAGGAACUGUGGAGUUGGUCAGCAAGGGUUGUCCCUGCCUUUCUGUCCUGGCCUUGUAACAACUACAAUUCGGCAUCUGCCCACGAACAAAAGUGCUUCCGAGCCAGCUGUGAGAUCUAGAACCAGGCAGCAAGGGAACCGCCAGGUGGGUAGGAUCGUCUCCCCGGCCUGUGCCCCAUGGUUACAGGCAGAUGGACCUGGAAAUGGGUCGCCAGAACCCGCAGGAGCCCGUGGAGUGCCUCAGCCCCUGCUGACUGUGGAGAGAGAGCACCUGGGACAUGCUGACUUGAGCGCACAGCCGUGGGGGACUCAGCCUCGCGAGAGUCCUGGUUUCCAGGCGAGAGAUUCCAGCGCUCCUUUGAAGCACAGAAAGUUUGGAUGCGUAGAAGAACUCUACUGUGUACUUGUAAACGAAGGCACCAGAGUGUGGAAGAAGGCAUGCUGCAAGGAGAACAAGCCCGAGAACAAGGCCGAACAAGGCUGUGCUGCGUACUGGUUAUUUGUCCUCAGGCAGGCUACUUUACCUGGUGACCUUCAUUAUCUUCAUUUGCAAACCAAAGACAAGUCAUCUCCAGCCAGGCUCGAAAUUAUACCUCAGGAAACACUGUGCCAGCUGAAAAGUAAAAGACUUCUAAAACUCCAAUGAUUUUUGUUGGAACAUAAGACUAUUCUGGGAUUG
ensembl:lncRNA